rnacentral:rRNA from 1 species
CAAAUUGAGAGUUUGAUCCUGGCUCAGGACGAACGCUGGCGGCGUGCCUAAUACAUGCAAGUCGAGCGAGCUGAA